UACGUAGGGUGCAAGCGUUAAUCGGAAUUACUGGGCGUAAAGCGUGCGCAGGCGGUUGUGCAAGACAGAUGUGAAAUCCCCGGGCUUAACCUGGGAAUUGCAUUUGUGACUGCACGGCUAGAGUGUGUCAGAGGGGGGUAGAAUUCCACGUGUGAGCAGUGAAAUGCGUAGAUAUGUGGAGGAAUACCGAUGGCGAAGGCAGCCCCCUGGGAUAACACUGACGCUCAUGCACGAAAGCGUGGGGAGCAAACAGG
rnacentral:rRNA from 1 species